rnacentral:lncRNA from 1 species
UAUAUGCCACAUUUUCUUUAUCCAUUCAUGUACCAAAGGGCAUCUACGUUGGUUCCAAAGUUUAACUAUUGUGAAUUGUGCUGCUGUAAACAUUGAUGUGGCUGUGCCCCUGUAGUAUGCUGUUUUUAAGUCCUUUGGGUAUAGACUGAGGAGUGGUAUAGCUGGGUCAAAUGGUGGUUCCAUUCCCAGUUUUCCAAGGAAUCUCCAUAUUGCUUUCCAUAUUGGUUGCACCAAUUUGCAGUCCCACCAGCAAUAUAUGAAUCUGCCUUUUCCCCCCACAUCUUCACCAACACUUAUUGUUUGUAUUCUUAAUACAAACAUUCUGACUGAAUUGAGAUGAAAUCUUAGAGUAGUUUUGAUUUGCAUUUCUCUAAUUGCUAGAGAUGUUUAACUUUUUUUAAUUGAAAGUUGGAUAAUAGGAAUGGAGGGUAAGUAGGCUUUAGUGUGAGAAUUUGUUUAAAUCUGCUAGGAUUUAGACUGUGUUUAGAAUCCAUCACUUUAAAUGUUUUCUCAUCAUUGAUAAUCCCCUUUUCUUAUUUCUCUUCUUCCUGAAGAAUUCCCUUUAACAUUUCUUUAAGAGCUUGUCUGCUGAAAUGCAGUCUCUUUUCUUAAUUUGAGAGUGUCCUUUUUAAAAAAAAUUUGUCUUUACUUAUAGGUUGACACAAUACCUUUAUUUUAUUUUUAUGUGGUGCUGAGGAUCGAACCCAGUGCCUCACACAUAUUAGGGAAGUGCUCUAAUACUGAGCUACAACCCCAGCCCUUGAGAGAGUCUUUAUAUCACCAUUAUUCUGGUAGGUGUUAGAGUCUGUAAACAAGUCAAAAUAACACUUGGCAUUUUGCCAGAGAAAUGUUUUAGAGUCUGUAAACAAGUCUGGAUGGCGCCUGGCAAAAUGCCAGAGGGAGUGGUUUGUGAAGUAACAAAAGCCAGCCAUUAAGUGUGGAGAUUUCUUAUUGGUUGACUGAUGUAUCUAGUUUAUGCUAAUUAAGAUAAGCUCUGUGGAAUGUAUAAAUACCUCUGUUGUCCUACAAUAAGGCUCCCACUCCUGCUGUAUCAAUGUUCACAAGUUGUUCGUCACCCCCCCCCCCCCCCCCAGUUAUUUUGCUGCAGCCGGACUGCAGCAGGUAGGAUAUUUUUGCUGGACAUAUAAUUCUAGGUGACAGUUCUUUAAGCAUUUUAAAGACGUUGGACUAUGGUCUUCAUGGUUUCUUUUCUUUUUUUGGUGCUGGGGAUGGAACCCAGGGCCUCAUAUCUGCUGGGCAAGUGCUCUGUCACUGAGCUACACCCUUAGGCCAGCUUUUCAUGCUUUCUGAUGAAACGUCCACACUCAUUUAAAUAAUUUCUCUGCAAGUAAUGCUUCACUUUUCUCUGUCUAUUUUUAAGAUUUUUUUCUUUCUUUGCAAUUCAAUAGUUUUAUGAAAAUUUAUCUGGGCAUUAUUAAAAUUUAUCUGGGCAUAGUUUUGUUUGUGUAUAUCCUUUUUGGUGUUGGUCUAGAUUCUUAAUCCUGUAAAUUUAAACCUUUUAUCAAAUUUGGGAAGUUGUUACCCUUCCCCUCCCUCCCCCCCUUCCUUCCUUCCUUUCUUCCUCUCUCUCUCCUCAGCAUCCCAACUCCCUCUCUAUCUUUCUUAGUAGGGAUCAAACCCAGGGUUACUUUACCACAGAGCUACAUCCCAUUCCCAGCCUUUUUUUUUUUUUAAACUUUUACAUUUUGAGACAGAAUCUUGCUAAGUUGUUUAGGGCCUUGCUAAAUUGUUGAGGCUAGCCUCAAACUUGGAAUCCUCCUGAGUCAUUGGGAUUACAGGUGUUUGUCACCACACCCAGCUACCCAUUAUUUCUUCAAAUCAUUUUUCAGCACUAAGUUUUUUCUCCUUUCCAUCUAGGUCUCCAACAAAAUGGAUGUUAGUCCAUUUGAUAUUGUUCCACAGUUC